ensembl:snRNA U6 U6 spliceosomal RNA
GUGCUAAGCUCACUUUGGCAGCACAUAUACAAAACUUGAAACAAUACAAAGACAGUUAGCAUGGCCCCUGUGCAAGGAUGACACAUAAAUCUGUGAAGCAUUAUGUAUUUUU